rnacentral:rRNA from 1 species
AGUGAACGCUGGCGGCAGGCCUAACACAUGCAAGUCGAGCGGCAGCGCGGGGCAACCUGGCGGCGAGCGGCGGACGGGUGAGGAAUGCAUCGGAAUCUACCCUGUCGUGGGGGGAUAACGUAGGGAAACUUACGCUAAUACCGCAUACGACCGAGAGGUGAAAGUGGGGGACCUUCGGGCCUCACGCGAUUGGAUGAGCCGAUGCCGGAUUAGCUAGUUGGUAGGGUAAAGGCCUACCAAGGCGACGAUCCGUAGCUGGUCUGAGAGGAUGAUCAGCCACAUUGGGACUGAGACACGGCCCAAACUCCUACGGGAGGCAGCAGUGGGGAAUAUUGGACAAUGGGCGCAAGCCUGAUCCAGCCAUGCCGCGUGUGUGAAGAAGGCCUUCGGGUUGUAAGACACUUUGUUCGGGUAAGAAAGUACGUGCGAAUUAAUAACUUUG